rnacentral:rRNA from 1 species
AUGAACGCUGGCGGCGUGCCUAAUCCCUGCAAGUCGAGCGAACAGACGAGGAGCUUGCUCCUCUGACGUUAGCGGCGGACGGGUGAGUAACACGUGGAUAACCUACCUAUAAGACUGGGAUAACUUCGGGAAACCGGAGCUAAUACCGGAUAAUAUAUUGAACCGCAUGGUUCAAUAGUGAAAGACGGUUUUGCUGUCACUUAUAGAUGGAUCCGCGCCGCAUUAGCUAGUUGGUAAGGUAACGGCUUACCAAGGCAACGAUGCGUAGCCGACCUGAGAGGGUGAUCGGCCACACUGGAACUGAGACACGGUCCAGACUCCUACGGGAGGCAGCAGUAGGGAAUCUUCCGCAAUGGGCGAAAGCCUGACGGAGCAACGCCGCGUGAGUGAUGAAGGUCUUCGGAUCGUAAAACUCUGUUAUUAGGGAAGAAAAAAUGUGUAAGUAACUAUGCACGUCUUGACGGUACCUAAUCAGAAAGCCACGGCUAACUACGUG